rnacentral:lncRNA from 1 species
GAAAAUCUAGAAGUGCGCAGCUUAAAUAACACAUGCACAACUGAAAUUGAUGAGAAAUGUUUGCCUUCGUAUUAAAACAUUGGUAUAUUGGCAAAUCCGAGUACAGCUUGAGACAUUAUUUUCUGAAACUCUGUAGACACACCUAAGAUUACUGGCAUUUUUUACUCAAGAGCAAAAUUGAAGAUUGAAUUGUAGAAAUGCUGUGUUGAAGAAAUAUUAAGAGAUCUCAUUUGUGAUUUCUCUUUCCUGUGGGAAUUUGUGGUUAUUGUUUAAAAAUGAAUAUACACAGAUAAAACAAAUUCCUCCUGCGGGACCAUAAAGGCUUAUGAUGAGACACUCGUCCCAUAAGUUUUACAAUAACCAUUGUUCAAGAUUUCUCGUUAAGAGCAAGGGGGAUUAUUAACGAGAUCCGUGUGUUGAUUAGAUUGACGCACAGCUGCAUUGUUUGAGGCACACAAAAAAAAAUGUAAUUCUCAAAUAAAUGCCCGUUUGCCCUCAGAAUCACUUUUAAAGUUUUUCCUCUGCAGGAAGAUUAACAGAUAAUGUUUCUUUGUGUGCUGUUGGGGGAGUGAAUUAGAUUUGUACCCAAAUCUGUUACAUAAACCUGCACCGUGCCGGAAACUUUGCAAUGAGUUCUUUUACAUUUCUGUGUACUUUCUAUACUCUACAGAUGCAGAUGCCUUCAAAGCGAAGCUCGCAGAGGGACGGGGCGUUUAGUCGGCAACAUCUGAACUUAAGAGCCUGUCAAUCAAAUCUCAGCGGGAGCAGUUAUCCCAGGAAUGCAUCAUCAACAGCAGCUUCUUCAAAGAAGAGUGUGGAAUUUGAUGGUCUCCUAGCAACCGACUCCUCUCAGCCUCCCUGUGGCUGAUGGUUCUGAUGGGCAUUGUCCUCACCACCACAGGCUUCAGGGACAGAAGAUAGGUUUAAUCAAACGCGCCUGAAGAGAGAAGCACGAGAGGGAUAUCAUCUGGAACAGCUGGGAUAUUUCAUGUCAUUUUAUUUGAGCAGGAAAUUAAAGAUGAAAGACAUACUGAAGCUCACCUGAGCGAGCGAAUUCAGGCAUUGAGUGCAUCUUAAGGGCUGUCGCUUUUGUUUACGCUGUGCGUACUGUUUAAUAUUAAAAGUGAUUACUUUGUGUCAUAUAAAUAAUUGCAAAUCAAAAUUAUACUGAAAAAAAAAAACAUUUAGAAAUUGCUAGUAAAUUUCACAUGUAAUUACAAAUAAAUA